GAUGUAGUGGCUGAUAAAAGCAGUAAAUUGUAAAUUUACUUAUGAAAUAAUUUCCUACAUU
rnacentral:tRNA from 1 species